GAAGAUCGCCGUACACUUGGUCUUGUGCUUCUCCGUGGUGAGGAGGUUAUUUCCAUGACUGUUGAGGGACCACCUCCUCCUGAUGAUUCGCGAGUCAAGGCUACUACUGCCGGUUCUGCAGUUUCCGGCCCGGGAAUUGGUCGGGCUGCUGGUCGUGGUGUUCCUACUGGGCCGUUGGUUCAUGCUCAACCGGGACUUGCUGGACCUGUUCGUGGGGUUGGUGGGCCUGCUCCGGGUAUGAUGCAGCCUCAACUUUCUCGGCCUCCGAUGCCUCAAGUUUCUGCUCCACCGAUUAAUUACCCACAGCAGCCGCCUCCAAUGAUGAGACCGCCUGGUGGGCCACCAAUGCCACCGCAAGGUAUGCAGAUGCAAAGACCUGGGGGCCCUCCGCCUAUGGCACCACCACCACAGUUCCGGCCUGGUGGUGGUCCACCACAGUUUCCACCGCAGUUUGGUCAGCGUCCCAUGGUUCCUCCACCUCCCAUGAUGAGGGGUCCACCUCCUCCUAGACCAGGAAUGCCUGGUCAACCGCCUCACCCAGGUAUGCCACCCCCACCUCCCAGUGGUCAGGUUCCUGUUUAUGGACCUCCUCGU
rnacentral:misc_RNA from 1 species